AUAUAAAAUAAAAAUAAAAACCCCAACUACCCAUAUCUGGGCGUGGAACGAUCGAACAGAGAGGAGAAAGAAAGGGGUGAAACCCUAAUUCAUGAGCAGACCUUCAAAUUGAAAGGGGAAUUGAAGCCUAGUUGAAUGCAUGAACUAAGAAUGAUGAUCCUCUAAGCAUACCCAACAUCAAGAACGUGUCAAGGAGAGGUCAAGCAUAGGAGGAUAACGGGUCAAGAUAAGGCAAGGUGACAAAUACACUUAUUGGAGUACUCGAGGUAUGGGAUCGUUGGCUUCAUGAAGAAAUGGAGCUGGAUUUGGAUAAGAGUAUUUAAGAAAGC